UUAGCUUUCUGUUAGUCACAGAAGACUUGGAAUAAAGCACUUUUAUGAUACUUUUAUGAUGUGUUUUUUUUUACAUUUUUGUACCUUUGCUCACCAUUGACUUUUGGAAGAAAGCAAGUCUCUAAGAAAGACAUGGUGGUGAGUAAAUAAUGAUAUCAUUUUUAUUCCUGGAUGAAACUCUUUCACUUUAAGUGCAGCAGCUUUUGAGUUUUUAAGUUCCCAACUUAAAAGGCAUCAGUUUCAUCCCAUUUUUUUAAAUUUAAGCCAAUAUUACAAAGCAUGUAAGCUACCAUUCAAAAAAAUGUUUAAAGAAAUGAAUACUUUUAUUUAGCAAGGAUGCACAGUAUUAUUAUUUUAAAUGUAUUUUUUAUCAAAUGAAUUCAAAAUAAUAAUUUCAAAACAAGUAGAUAAAUAAAUCUUACUGACCCCAAACUUUUGAACAGUGGUGUAUAUCCUCUGUCACCCUCAAGAUAACCUACAUGUAAUAGCCCAUUUUGUUCUGCAGACAUAAUUCAAAUGGGACACAAAUAGGACAAGUGGCUGUUGCACAUUUUAUUUGGGCGCUGUUCAUCUUAAUGGCUGCUUGAAGACUUAGUUGGCUUGAGUGUGUGAAGCCUGGGCACAGCUCCUGUGUCUGGGAGGUUCUCUCUCUGGGAGGGCACUUGGAGAAAGCUUGCACUGUCUGGGAUCUUUAGCAGGGAUACAGAGACUGUGGUACAGUGUGUAUCUCCAGCAGUCAUGGUGUGCUGUGUCUGUAUGGGAUGUUACCUUGUACUCGAUCUGCUCCUGCUUGGAAUGCAUGUGGAGGGCAAAUGGAAAGCCAUGAACUACAGUGUCUCUUCUAAGAAUGAAGAUCUUCAUAGUAAAUGGGAAAUUUCAUCUUAUCUGAACAGAACUUCAAAGCAUUCACUCCAUGGUUUUGUAGUGGUGGACGAGUCUGACCUUCUCACGUCUCCCGCCAUCAGCACACAUAGCAGGUAUAAGGACACCAGGGACAAAAAGAUCCAGUCCACCACCUCUCAAAAACUGAAAGCAGAUUUUGGUGCAGGCCAUCUUGAGCGGCUCCCUUUGAAGCCCUCUAGGGACAUUGCUGACCUGGAUUCUAUUUUGAAUGUGAAGACAUCAGCUGGUCAUCAGCUGGAUCUUGUCUGGCCUACAGUCCAUCCUGAGUUAAACCAGCUGACUGAAGAAGGUUUCUUACUUCCUUCGAAGAGCUUCGAUUUAGUUAAAAAGCCUUUGGUCAGUGUUCACUCAAUAAAAGGAUAUGAAUCACUUGUAGGAAAUGGACAAGCUGACUACAAGCACUCAAGCAAGAAAAGAGUUGCAUUUAAACAUGGUGAUGUUAUAUUAGGCAUGGAUGGAAGGAGAUACCAGCUCCUCAGUGGACCUCCAGGGCCUGUUGGACCACCAGGCAAAAGAGGGUGUGCAGGGAAAAGGGGCUAUAUUGGAUACAAGGGUGUUAAGGGUUCUCAAGGAGUCCGAGGAGCAGAUGGGCCAAGGGGCAUAUCAGGACCUCCAGGUCCACCAGGACUCCCAGUCCUCUACCUUUGGAGGAACACAGAGGAGGAUUGGGCCGCAUUUAGGAGAACAUCUUAUUACCAGUUGCUGGCGGCUGGAUGGCCAGUAAGUAUUUGAAAGUAGAAUAAAUUACAAAACAUCAUUGAAAUAUGUGCAUGUGGUCUCUCUCACUAAACCCUUUCUCUCUGAUGUCCUGCAGAGACAGACAGGACACCCUGGACCAAUGGGUGAGAUGGGGAGACCAGGUUUACCUGUGAGUAUACAAUCAAACAUACAGAGCAUCUUUAAUGCAGACUGAACUGUUGCAGAACCUGUGUUGCA
rnacentral:lncRNA from 12 species